rnacentral:lncRNA from 1 species
UGCUGAAGCCAGAGACUCUCCACUGAGAGGGGGAUCCCCCAACUUGGGGAGUCCAGGAAAAAAAAAGAAAAAAAAAGAAAGAAAAGAAUUGCUAGGCUUAAAGGCAGGAUGCUGGUAGUUUGGCCUCCCGGAAGGCCUGUCUUCAACUACCCCACGAAAAGAGCUGUUUUUAUAUCUUUACAAAGAAGACCACGCGUUUCCCCCCCCCCGCCCGGAACCCAUUCCUCCAUCCCACAACACACACAGUCUAGCAAUUCUUUCUUUUCUUUUUGCCUUUUUGUCUUUUUAGGGCCACACCCGCAGCAUAUGGAGGUUCCCAGGCAAGGGGUUGAAUCAGAGCUGCAGCUGCCAGCCUACGCCACAGCCACAGCAACACAGGAUCCGAACCGCUUCUGUGACCUACACCACAGUUCACAGCAGUGCCAGAUCCUUAACCCACUGAGCCAGGCCAGGGAUUGAACCCGCGUCCUCAAGGAUGCUAGUCAGGUUUGUUAACCGCUGAGCCACGACAGGAACUCCUAGCGAUUCUUUCUCACAUCAAAUCCACAUCCCUCCUGCUGCAAGGAAACUACUACCCUUUUCUUGUCAGUCCUUGUCUGAAACAGAGGACAGCUGUUCUCACUUGCGCAAAGCUCUUGAGGACUAAUUGAUCAAGAGGCUGGGGGUGGAGGGUAAAGGAAGAACUGUCUGACCUUGGUUCUGGAUAAGCCCUCAGGGAAAAUGCUUCUCUUCUUCCAGGACCCUAAUGAGCUAAACAGAAGGACAUUCAAGUGGCAGCUCCUAGACUUCACUCCUGGACUUGGAGUGUUACUGUUCAGACUGUUUCUUCACUUAAAAGUGAGUUUUGUGACACAAAAGGAAGGACAGGUAAAGCCAAGAUAUGAACUGGCUGUUUUCUGUAACCUACCGAAACAAGAACGGCACGUGACAUGCCUUUAAAAUCUGUGGAUUUGUUCCAAGGGACGAGUAUGGGUUGAUAAACUGAACAGAGGUUGUCAUCUGAGUGUCUUAGGGGACCUAGCUCAAGUGUCAUGUUCCUGUUUGUUUGGGGCUGUGAGGUUUGUGUUCACAGCUUCAUGGUUAUUCCCAGCACUUAAGGAGAAAAAAACGACCCUACCUGUUCAGUGACUAAUGGGUGGAAAAGAAGUCUGCAAUCCAUCCGGCAGAGUGGCUCAUUCUUUCCCCUCCUGCCCCGAUGCCAUGCUAUUUAGUUAUGAGUGUGUCUUUCCCGUUUUCCCCAUUGGGAUUGCUACAUUCUUGCUGUUGUCUUGGGCAGAUUACCAAAAUGGAGUUUAUGAUUCAUUGACCCAAAUUAUGUUCCCACUGACAAUAUCUGCAGAAAUUCGGUUCAACAAUGGCUUGCUGAGUUUACUGAAAACAUACAUCGCUCCCUGGAAUUCACCCACCCCAAUCAGGCCAACAGAAGAGCAAAUUAAAUCUUAUCUCCUUGGAUGUCCUUGAGGAAGAACAUCCUGGUCUUGGCAGUUCACUGCAUAUUUACAAAAAGCUACGAGAAAGCAAGAUCGUGAACAGGUCUUCUGUGAAUUGCAGUUAAAUCCCUAGGCCUAUGUGAAAGACUUCUCAGUGUGGACAACAACCUAUUUUCCUAAAUCACAACCCUGGGAUGAAGGUCCCAUGCUUGUUUUUUUGUGUGUGUGCGCGAGAAGCAUGGGUAGGCAUUUUUCCCAGCAAGCAUGUGAAGUGCGUAGUAACCAGGCUCUAUCUUUGAUUUCUCUUGCCCAUGAUCCGAGGGAGGAAGCAAAGUAAUAUAAAAGUUAAGAAAGCAAACAUAUAUUGCUUUCCUGGAUAGAUCAACUUCUCCCAUAGUGAUUUUUGCCUUUGUACACUUUGUCUUUGAAUGACAUAAAGUAAAAGGUAAAAUCCUAGUUCAUUAGUUUAUAACCUGUUGAGCAGAGGUGGGUGGAAUCCUUGCAAAGCAAAAUAGAAGCAUGAGGAUGGAGCGGGCAUACUCUGUCCUGUCUUUCCCACUGAAUUCAGUUAUAAAAACUGGAAAGAAUUCAUGAAGCAGCUAUUUAAGGACUGUGGAAAAUAAAUGAUAGCAGGUGGGUUGGGAAAGAAGACCAGAAUUUGAAGUACCACAGAACCAGCACUGAGUUCCCUCCUCCCACUUUUUUCCCCUUGGUGUCCCUUGGCUGGACUCAAAGCAGCCUAAAAACUGAAAGUGAGAAUGAGACAUGAGUAGAGAGUUCCAGGCGAAGCCCUCCACUUCUAGCUCAACAAGCAGAAAGGAAACUCCUAAUGCUUAGCAGGAGUGGAGAAAAUGGUCCAUUUUUCUUUUCUCUGUUUUAUGGUCCCCUAGUCCCCAGACAAUCCUGAGGUGGUGGAGACAUGCCAGAAGUGGGAUCCAUGGCACUAAAACCAUGAGAAAAGGGGACCUCCCACUCUGAUUUGAGGAGCUGUGGUCUCCGGGCAGUGGGCUAUUUCUCUCUGUUCUGCUGCCACUUGGCCCCAGAUGUAGAUGAGCUCACGGAAGUAGGCGGCAGAGCAAGGGAACUAGAGCCCCAGCUCUCAGAUUAAGGGAAUGAAAAAUGGAGCCUCGGGGAGCCAGAAAGUACUGGGGAGUUUGUGGGUAGGGAGGAUCUUGGGACAUUGUUGAUGAAUUCCUGAGCUUAUCCACAAGCUUCGCAUGCAUGAACCUGACUCUAAACAACAUACUACAGACUUUGAAGACUGAACUAUGGGAGAGACCACAGCCCGCAUCCAAGGCUGGCCACAGGGUCAUUACAUGAGGGGCAGAUCAGAGUCGCAUUGCAAAGGCUUUGAAAACUGAAUUGACAUUGGAACCACUCACACAGAAGUAUAUAGCUGGAACAUAUAGCUGGAACAACCCAGCUUAGCUGCCUACUAAACCAAAAGCAUCAGCAAUCUCCAUGGGAUUUAAACAAGACCCAGAGUCUCAUAACAUAAUAUUGAAAGUAUCCAAAAUAUAAUUAAAAAUUUCAAGGCAUACAAUGAACCAAAAACAUUUCAACUUGCAUAGGAAGAGCUAGUCAACAGAUGUCAACAGUAAGAUGAUACAGAUGUUGGAAUAAUCAAAGACUUUAAAGCAACUAUUAUAAGAUUCCUCGAGGAAGUAAGGUAGAACGUUCUUGACUGAAAUAGAAUGGUAGAAAGUCUCAGUAAAGAAAUAGAAUUAUUUAAAAAAAGAAAAGAACAAAAUGGUAAUUUUAGAAUUAGAUAAUACAGUAACUAAACUUCUAAGAAUACAUGGGCAUUCUCGUCAUGGCUCAGAGGAAACAAAUCUGACUAGUAUCCAUGAUGAUGCAGGUUUGAUCCCUGGCCCUGCUCAGCGGGUCUGGGAUCUGAUGAUGCCGAGAGCUGUAGUGUAGGUCACAGACUCGGCUUGGAUCUUUCGAUGCUCUGGCUGUGGCAUAGGCCAGCAGCUGUAACUCGAUUUGACCUGGGAACUUCUAUAUGCCACAGGUGUGGCCCUAAAAAGCAAAAUAAGAUAAAAUAAAAAAUACAUGGAUGGAUGUAAAUCAACUAUAAUAAAUUUUUUAAAUAAACAGGAAAAGAUAUUAAAAAUAUAUGGAUGGGUCCAUUUUAUUUAUUAUAUUUAAAAACGGCAGAAUGGAGAUGCUAGAGGAAAGAAUCAAUGAACUUGAAAAUAAAGCAAUAGAAAUCAUCUAAUCUCAACAACAGUAAAGAAAAAAAUUGAAAACAAACAAAAAAGAGGAGUACCUCAGGGACAUAUGGGACAUUGCCAAAGUCAUUGGACAUUUUUAGGUCUAAUAUUGAUGUCAUUGGCAUCUUAGAAAGAGAACAGAAAGAAUGCAGUGCAGAAAAAUUAUUAGAGGAAAUAACGACUUGAACUUUCCAUAUUUUGUGAAAGACAUAUUUUUUUAAUGGCUGCGCUCAUGGUAUUUGGAAGUUUCUGGGUCAGGGAUUGAAUCCAACCCUCAGCUGUGGCAACGCUGGAUCCUUUAACCCACUGCGUCAGGCCAGGGAGUGAACCUGCACCUCUGCAGCCAUCUGAGCCACUGCAGUCGGAUUCUUAACCCACUGCACCACAGUGGGAACCCCCAAAGAUAUUAAUAUUUAGAUUCAAGCCGUUCAGCGAACUUGCAAAAGCAGAAAUCCAAAGACAUCCAUAUCAAGAGACACUAUAAUUAAAUUGUUGAAAACCAAAGGAAAAAAAAAUCUGGAAGCAGCUAUAGAGAGAGGACACAACAGGAUAUAAUAAAGAUAAGAGCAGAAAUCAAGGAUAAUGAAAACAAACAAACAAACAAACAAACAAAAAAAACGAGAGAGAACAACCUAAAAGUUGGUUCUUUGAAAAGAUAGAUUAAACCGCUAUCCUUACCUCUGUCUUUGUCUCUCACAACCUCAGCUUCUGGAAGCUCCAUUCCUUUCUCUCUCCAUUUCCCCAUGUAGAGGGUCUCUUCUCUCUGUGUUGCCUUUGUCUUUUUCUCCUUUCUCCUCUUUCCACAAAUCCCUUCCAGCCAGACGAAAACUUGCCCUUCAUCAAAAUCUUUACCACCAGUUCCUGCUCAGGCCCUUCAUGGGCACCUCUGCCCAUCAGAGCCCUGACACUGAAGCCCAGACAACUGCAGGGUCAAAACGCUUCCAGGUGACUUGGUUUAAACCUGGGACCGAUACUCAGAGCCAGAGGGUUUGGAGUAUGUUCUCUUGUUCUCUGAAGUACUUACCCAAAAUUCCUUACUCCAGAAGGCUCCCUUGUGGCGCAGCAGUUUAAGGGUCCAGUGUUGCCGCAGCUGUGAUGCAGUUUCAGUCCCUGGCCUGGGAAUUUCCAUGUGCCUCAGAUACAGCCAAGAUAAAAUAAAAUGAAAUAAAAUUUUUAAUCCAUGAAGACAUUUCCAUGUGAAACCUUUAUCCAUUUAUUCCUUCCCAAAGGUGGAAUAUUUUCAAAGCACAGAGGACGACUGCAAAUCAUUGUUGCCAAACAUUCUAGUGUGGAUUCAAGAUAUUAGAAAAUAUAAGAAUGUUACCGUGUCCUCACAUCAUAGGAGAGCGUAUCUUUUUAUAUCGAGCUCUCUCUUACUUUGAGGGUGAUAAUUGAUCUUUUGUCAUUAACUGGCCUCAGACUUAUUGAGAAGCAACUACGUGCAGAGCACAAUGAACAUUUCGAGAAACUGCUCUUGACUUUUAAAAGAUUUGUUUGCAGAGCUACGUCCUGAAAGAGCAAGGCGUUAUUGCCUGCUUCUCCAGA